GCGGAUAUGGCGGAAUUGGCAGACGCGCCAGAUUUAGGUUCUGGUGGGACACCCGUGCAGGUUCAAGUCCUGUUAUCCGCA
rnacentral:tRNA from 1 species